ensembl:lncRNA
CUCCAGCUGUCUGGGCCUUGUGAAGGGCUUCUGCUGAAACGGCGCUAACAGCUUCUGCUGGAAAAGCUCCAGCAAAUGAGCGUCACAAAACUCAGCAGGGAAGAUCAGCGAAUGAUUACUCCUUUACUCCAAUUUCAUUUCAGUCUUUUUGUCUUUUUCAUGCAGUGAUAUUUGUCAGUCGUGAAUCUCAAAUACAGUACUAUGGUGCGUAGAUUUGAAAAAAAAAGUUGCCUUUCCAAUUUGGUAGAAUUUAUUUUCACUGGUUUUUUUUUUGGACGCUGUUUUGAAAUCGACCGUUUCUCCUCCUUCAGAAAGCUGCUGAAGACAAACCAGCGCAAGACGAACCUGUAUUGAAUUAGACAAUGUUGCAAGAUCAGUUAAUGAAAUAUUGAUAAGAACAUUCCUUCAACACAUGCUGCAGCAGCUGUUCUGGGCUUGGUAUGGAUCAAGGCUAUGGCUAUGGCUUUCCUGUAGAUGGUCAUAAAUUAAGGUGCAGCAAUCCUCUUGAAGUAUACUACAAGAAACAACAACAGCUAAAGGCCUUAAAGAACAGUAAAUAAUUGAAUGCUUGUACUGCUAUUCUUCUGCAUACACUCUACAGUUUCAGGGUCUCAAUUUAUUUUAUUUUUCAAUCAUUUAGUAAAUUUGUGUGAUUUUUUUUUUUGAUAGACCAAACUGAGCUAAAAAUUCCCACCAGAUUUACAAAAAUUAUUCUCUCAUUCUUUGUACUUGCAUAUAUGUUUAGAAACUAUAUCAGCAAUAAAUGACCAAACUCAUUCGCAACACAGCUAAUUUACAUUUACAUGACAAAACUCCUUAUACAACAAAGCUCACAGAGAGCUUGACAAAAGGAUAUUAAACACUUGUGCGCUAAUACGUCCAAUAAUGCAGCUCAGCCACCGCAGCGAAUCAGCUACCAAAGACAUACACCAACGCUUCCCCCUUUUAUAGGGCACCAUUACUUUUGUUCUAAUUGAC